GAUGAACGCUGGCGGCGUGCCUAAUACAUGCAAGUCGAGCGAACAGAUGAGGAGCUUGCUCCUCUGACGUUAGCGGCGGACGGGUGAGUAACACGUGGAUAACCUACCUAUAAGACUGGGAUAACUUCGGGAAACCGGAGCUAAUACCGGAUAAUAUAUUGAACCGCAUGGUUCAAUAGUGAAAGACGGUUUUGCUGUCACUUAUAGAUGGAUCCGCGCCGCAUUAGCUAGUUGGUAAGGUAACGGCUUACCAAGGCAACGAUGCGUAGCCGACCUGAGAGGGUGAUCGGCCACCCUGGAACUGAGACACGGUCCAGACUCCUACGGGGGGCAGCAGUAGGGAAUCUUCCGCAAUGGGCGGAAGCCUGGCGGAGCAACGCCACGUGAGUGAUGAAGGUCUUCGGAUCGUAAAACUCUGUUAUUAGGGAUGAACAAAUGUGUAAGUAACUAUGCACGUCUUGACGGUACCUAAUCAGAAAGCCACGGCUAACUACGUG
rnacentral:rRNA from 1 species